AAAAAAUGUAUAUAUAUAUAGAAACAAGUAGAACAUAAAAACAGAAAUAAAUUUUAAAAACAUGUCAUAAAAGCUCAACGGAAAAAAAUAAAUAAAAAACAAUAGAAAUAUAUUAAUACUAAGUGUAUACAUACGCCUUAACUUUAAUAAAAUCAUACAUAAAGAGAAAUAAGAAUGGCCAUGAAAUCAAAACAACCCAAAGGCCAAACAAUAUACAUUACUAAACAUCAUUUACAAGUCAACUGGCUUUGUUAAAACAAAACUACACUCAAGUACAGACCUGUGACUAUUUGCAGUCAAAAGAAUAUUUCUAAAACUCAGAAUCAUUUUACAAAAGACCUGCAUGUAUAUUUUUGUUUGGUUUUGUUUAGAUUCUGCGGAAGACAUUUCUAACGGAAUUUCACAUUAAAAUUGAGGGAGCGAAAUUACCAAAUUACAACAAACAUAUAUAUAUUUACGUGUAAUUGGGGAAAAGAGACAGAAACGAG
rnacentral:lncRNA from 1 species